GCCUGGGUGGCUCAGUCAGUUGAGCAUCUGGCUUUGGGUCAGGUCAUGAUCUCGUGGGUUUGUGGGUUCAAGCCCCAUGUUGGGCU
rnacentral:tRNA from 1 species